rnacentral:misc_RNA from 1 species
AGCAGCCGCGGUAAUUCCAGCUCCAAUAGCGUAUAUUAAAGUUGUUGCAGUUAAAAAGCUCGUAGUUGAAUUUCGGGAUCAGUUGGUCGGUCGUGCCUCGGUACGUACUGGUCAAAUUGAUUCCUACCUUCUGACGAACCACGAUGUCAUUAAUUUGGUGUCGCGGGAAAUCAGGACUGUUACUUUGAAAAAUUAGAGUGUUUAAAGCAGGCUCGCGCUUGAAUACAUUAGCAUGGAAUAAUGAAAUAGGACGUUUGAUUCUAUUUUGUUGGUUUCUAGGAUCGACGUAAUGAUUAAUAGGGAUAGUUGGGGGCAUUAGUAUUCAAUUGUCAGAGGUGAAAUUCUUGGAUUUAUUGAAGACUAACUACUGCGAAAGCAUUUGCCAAGGAUGUUUUCAUUAAUCAAGAACGAAAGUUAGGGGAUCGAAGACGAUCAGAUACCGUCGUAGUCUUAACCAUAAACUAUGCCGACUAGGGAUCGGAUGAUGUUAAUUUUUAAUGUACUCAUUCGGCGCCUUACG